GCAUAUCAAUAAGCGGAGGAAAAGAAACUAACAAGGAUUCCCCUAGUAACGGCGAGUGAACCGGGAAGAGCUCAAAUUUGAAAUCUGGCGUCCUCAGGGCGUCCGAGUUGUAAUCUAUAGAAACGUUUUCCGUGCCGGACAGUGUCCAAGUCCCUUGGAACAGGGUAUCAAAGAGGGUGACAAUCCCGUACUUGACACGACUACCGGUGCUCUGUGAUACGUUUUCUACGAGUCGAGUUGUUUGGGAAUGCAGCUCAAAAUGGGUGGUGAGUUCCAUCUAAAGCUAAAUAUUGGCGAGAGACCGAUAGCGAACAAGUACCGUGAGGGAAAGAUGAAAAGCACUUUGGAAAGAGAGUUAAACAGUACGUGAAAUUGUUGAAAGGGAAACGAUUGAAGUCAGUCGUGACCGAGAGGCUCAGCCGGCUCUGCCGGUGUAUUCCCCUCGGUCGGGUCAACAUCAGUUUUGUCCGGUGGAUAAGGGCGUUAGGAAGGUAGCUCCCACGGGAGUGUUAUAGCCUGACGUCGCAUACACUGGGUGAGACUGAGGAAUGCAGCUCGCCUUUACAGGCCGGGGUUCGCCCACGUCCGAGCUUAGGAUGUUGACAUAAUGGCUUUAAACGACCCGUCUUGAAACACGGACC
rnacentral:rRNA from 1 species